rnacentral:rRNA from 1 species
UACAGAGGGUGCGAGCGUUAAUCGGAAUUACUGGGCGUAAAGAGCGCGCAGGCGGUCGUUCAAGUCGAGUGUGAAAUCCCCCGGCUCAACUGGGGUGGGUCACUCGAUACUGAUCGACUCGAAGGCAGGAGAGGGAAGUGGAAUUCCCGGUGUAGUGGUUAAAUGCGUAGAUAUCGGGAGGAACACCAGUGGCGAAGGCGACUUCCUGGCCUGUUCUUGACGCUGAGGCGCGAAAGCUAGGGGAGCAAACUGG